GACGAACGCUGGAGGCGUGCUUAACACAUGCAAGUCGAACGAUGAAAUGGAGCUUGCUCCAUGGAUUAGUGGCGAACGGGUGAGUAACACGUGACUAACCUGCCAUUAAUUUUGGAAUAACCCAGGGAAACCUGGGCUAAUACCGGAUAAGUAAACCUGUGUCAUCACAUGGUUAUGGUAAGCUCUUCGGUUAAGGAUGGAUUCGCGGCCUAUCAGCUUGUUGGUGGGGUAAUGGCUCACCAAGGCGACGACGGGCAGCCGGCCUGAGAGGGUGAACGGCCACACUGGGACUGAGACACGGCCCAGACUCCUACGGGAGGCAGCAGUGGGGAAUAUUGCGCAAUGGACGAAAGUCUGACGCAGCGACGCCUCGUGAGGGACGAAGGUCUUCGGAUAGUAAACCUCUUUCAGCAGGGACGAAGCGAAAGUGACGGUACCUGCAGAAGAAGCACCGGCUAACUAUGUGCCAGCAGCCGCGGUAA
rnacentral:rRNA from 1 species